ensembl:misc_RNA 7SK 7SK RNA
AGAUGUAAGGGAGAUCUGGCUGUGACAUGUGUCACCCCAUUGAUUGCCAGGGUUGAUUCGGCUGAUCUGGCUGGCUAGGUGGGUGUCCUCUUCCUCCCUCACCGCCCCAUGUGCGUCUCUCCCGAAGCUACGUGCUCGGUCCAAGAGGACAGCCUUCCCCGAAAAGAGACGGACUGGUCUUCGGUAGAGGGUAUAGGAGUAGCUGCUCUCUUCUGCUAGAACCUCCAAACAAGCUCUCAAGGUUCUAGAGAGAACCUACCACCCACCUGGAAUGACCACUACAUCUGCAUUUUAUGAGGGCCAGGUCCAAAGU